GCGGCGACGGGUGAGUACACGUGGGUGAUCUGCCUCGCACUCUGGGAUAAGCCUGGGAAACUGGGUCUAAUACCGGAUAUGAGCUUCAGGUGCAUGCCUGGGGUUGGAAAGGUUUACUGGUGCGAGAUGGGCCCGCGGCCUAUCAGCUUGUUGGUGAGGUAACGGCUCACCAAGGCGACGACGGGUAGCCGGCCUGAGAGGGCGACCGGCCACACUGGGACUGAGACACGGCCCAGACUCCUACGGGAGGCAGCAGUGGGGAAUAUUGCACAAUGGGCGAAAGCCUGAUGCAGCGACGCCGCGUGAGGGAUGACGGCCUUCGGGUUGUAAACCUCUUUUGACAGGGACGAAGCGCAAGUGACGGUACCUGUAGAAGAAGCACCGGCCAACUACGUGCCAGCAGCCGCGGUAAUACGUAGGGUGCGAGCGUUGUCCGGAAUUACUGGGCGUAAAGAGCUUGUAGGCGGUUUGUCGCGUCGAUUGUGAAAACUUGCAGCUC
rnacentral:rRNA from 1 species